rnacentral:rRNA from 1 species
AGGAUGAACGCUGGCGGUCUGCUUAACACAUGCAAGUCGAACGGAGUACCUCGGUACUUAGUGGCGGACGGGUGAGUAACGCGUGAGAAUCUGCCCUUAGGUCGGGGACAACCAUUGGAAACGAUGGCUAAAUACCGGAUAAGCCGAGAGGUAAAAGAUUAAUUGCCUAGGGAAGAGCUCGCGUCUGAUUAGCUAGUUGGUGAGGUAAAGGCUCACCAAGGCAUCGAUCAGUAGCUGGUCUGAGAGGAUGAUCAGCCACACUGGGACUGAGACACGGCCCAGACUCCUACGGGAGGCAGCAGUGGGGAAUUUUCCGCAAUGGGCGAAAGCCUGACGGAGCAAGACCGCGUGAGGGAGGAAGGCUCUUGGGUUGUAAACCUCUUUUCUUGGGGAAGAACGAAAAUGACGGUACCCAAGGAAUCAGCAUCGGCUAACUCCGCGCCAGCGGCCGC